rnacentral:rRNA from 1 species
AUGCCGAUCGAAGGCGGAGCAAACCCUUAGAAAAGAUGCGCCAGUUCGGAUAGAGGUCUGCAACUCGACCUCUUGAAGCCGGAAUCGCUAGUAAUCGCGGGUCAGCUAUACCGCGGUGAAUACGUUCUCAAGUCUUGUACUCACAAUAAAAGCGCGCAGCAGCGUACUUUUCUAGAUGGUUAAAAUCCAUC